rnacentral:rRNA from 1 species
CCGUGCCGUAGCUAACGCAUUAAAGUACCCCGCCUGGGGAGUACGGCCGCAAGGCUAAAACUCAAAGAAAUUGACGGGGGCCCGCACAAGCGGCGGAGCAUGUGGAUUAAUUCGAUGCAACGCGAAGAACCUUACCUGGGUUUGACAUGCACAGGACGUGCCUAGAGAUAGGUAUUCCCUUGUGGCCUGUGUGCAGGUGGUGCAUGGCUGUCGUCAGCUCGUGUCGUGAGAUGUUGGGUUAAGUCCCGCAACGAGCGCAACCCUUGUCUCAUGUUGCCAGCACGUUAUGGUGGGGACUCGUGAGAGACUGCCGGGGUCAACUCGGAGGAAGGUGGGGAUGACGUCAAGUCAUCAUGCCCCUUAUGUCCAGGGCUUCACACAUGCUACAAUGGCCGGUACAAAGGGCUGCGAUGCCGUGAGGUGGAGCGAAUCCUUUAAAGCCGGUCUCAGUUCGGAUCGGGGUCUGCAACUCGACCCCGUGAAGUCGGAGUCGCUAGUAAUCGCAGAUCAGCAACGCUGCGGUGAAUACGUUCCCGGGCCUUGUACACACCGCCCGUCACGUCAUGAAAGUCGGUAACACCCGAAGCCGGUGGCCUAACCCCUCGGGGAGGGAGCCGUCGAAGGUGGGAUCGGCGAUUGGGACGAAGUCGUAACAAGGUAACC